CCUACGGGAGGCAGCAGUGGGGGAUAUUGCACAAUGGGGGGAACCCUGAUGCAGUGACGCCGCGUGGGUGAAGAAGCGCCUCGGCGCGUAAAGCCCUGUCAGCAGGGAAGAAAAUGACGGUACCUGAAGAAGAAGCCCCGGCUAACUACGUGCCAGCAGCCGCGGUAAUACGUAGGGGGCAAGCGUUAUCCGGAUUUACUGGGUGUAAAGGGGGCGCAGACGGCGAUGCAAGCCAGGAGUGAAAGCCCGGGGCCCAACCCCGGGACUGCUCUUGGAACUGCGUGGCUGGAGUGCAGGAGGGGCAGGCGGAAUUCCUGGUGUAGCGGUGAAAUGCGUAGAUAUCAGGAGGAACACCGGCGGCGAAGGCGGCCUGCUGGACCGCGACUGACGUUGAGGCUCGAAAGCGUGGGGAGCGAACAGGAUUAGAUACCCCUGUAGUC
rnacentral:rRNA from 1 species